rnacentral:lncRNA from 10 species
GAAGGAGGAGGAGGAGGAGGAGGAGAAAGUGGCUCUCAGCGGCCGGUCGGAUUAAAAGUAACCAGACUCGUCCAGAAAACUGCGUCCAGGAAGGAAGUGACAGAAGACGAAUGGGAAAAGGAGAACAGCUCACAGCGUUUGAAACAUCGCGGCACCACUUUCAGAUAAAAACAUAGACCUGAAUGGCAUCAUCCAGUAUCCAAGGAAACCAUGUUCUCUAAACAUGAAUAUGCCUUUGGGGGAAGACAGAAGAACAUGGAAGCCAUGUGAAAAAAACGGAUCCUAAGGCAGUUUUGAACAUCUGGAGGCCUGAUUUAUUGGAGAUUGCAAAUGUACAGUGUAACAUAGCUGUGGAGAGAUCUCACAUGAGAUGGCAAAGAGGUCAAGACAAAAAUUCUGCAUUUGGGAAAAGAAUAACACAUGGACUUCCUCCUACAGGAUUAUAGGACUGUGUAUGUCCUACACACACAUUAUAUGUCCUACACGCACAGUGAUGAGGAGUGACAAAAUGAAGACUCCAGAAUCCUCUUUAUCAGAUCCUGAAUGUGCACUUUCUGAAGUGAAGUCCACUAUGUGCUGGGCACACAGAGAAUAGAGCAUGAAACAAAAGCAACAUGACCCUGCCCUCACCAAGACUACAGGGAGUGAUGGAGCAUACAACUUUGUUUCAGAAUGCAAUUCAGAUCUUCCCUUUCGCUUGGCUUCUUAAAACUUCUUUUGAGGAUGGUAAAAUUUCGUGUUAUAUUAAAUUUCAUCCUGUAACUGAUACUCUGGGAUGAUGUUGGCCAAUAACUAGCAAGACUUUAAAUAAUCAACUAGUUUAGGCAUUGCUUAGCACGCUCCAGCUGACUUCACAAGUAAAACCAUGUGAAGAAAGAAGGUUUUCAGGUAACACAGAUGGAGGUGAUGAUCUUUCUCAUUUUGUGGAAAAUAUUAAUUUCUCAUUUUUUAUUCACUGACAAUUAGUAAAAUUCCUUACUCUACCUAAUAUGUAGACUUCUGAACUAUGUAAGUAAAACUUUAUAGUAACUGAAAAGUUUGGGUAUUGUAUUUUCUUGGAGAAAAUGUUAGCUUCCCUCUGUUACUUUUAAAUGUUAAACUUUUAAUGAAUUUCAUCAAUGUAUAAUAAUGGGCAUAAUGAUCCACUCUGAAAUAUUUACUGUCAUUUUGAAUUUAUUCUUGAGUCAUCACAAACGUGUACAUCUCUUAUACCUUCAUGGAUGUUAUUGGUGAGAUGAUCUCUUGUUGUCAACACCUUGAGGAUAGGGACUUAUUCAGGCUCGCCUCUAGCAAGUGCUAAGUGCCUGGGAACACAUAAUAAAUAUUUCAUGAUAGGAGGAUGUUAGAAUAAGAGGAAAAACCAGAUUCUUACCCAAAUAAAUAAUAUUUAUUAUAUUCUUAUUUGUAUAUCAUUGUAACUGUAAAAAAA